rnacentral:rRNA from 1 species
ACUCCUACGGGAGGCAGCAGUGGGGAAUCUUGGACAAUGGGCGCAAGCCUGAUCCAGCCAUGCCGCGUGAGUGAUGAAGGCCUUAGGGUCGUAAAGCUCUUUCGCCAGGGAAGAUAAUGACGGUACCCUGGUAAAGAAACCCCGGCUAACUCCGUGCCAGCAGCCGCGGUAAUACGGAGGGGUUAGCGUUGUUCGGAAUUACUGGGCGUAAAGCGCGCGUAGGCGGACUAUUAAGUCAGGGGUGAAAUCCCGGGGCUCAACCCCGGAACUGCCCUUGAUACUGGUAGUCUUGAGUUCGAGAGAGGUGAGUGGAUUCCGAGUGUAGAGGUGAAAUUCGUAGAUAUUCGGAGGAACACCAGUGGCGAAGGCGGCUCACUGGCUCGAUACUGACGCUGAGGUGCGAAAGUGUGGGGAGCAAACAGGAUUAGAUACCCUGGUAGGCUCUGC